UGAAAUCAUCACACAUCAUUGGAGAAUCCCAAUCCGAUUCAUAAAUUGAAGAGACAGACAGAGCAAUCAAAUCUUCAGUUACCAGAUUAAUUUUCAAGAAUAACACAAGGGUCUAAAAAUAGAUCAAUUACCCAAAAUGAAACUUUAUAAAAAUAUAGAAUCAUCUUAACUACAGUGGAAUAUUAAAUUGUACAAAACUUCCAAUAAAGAAAAACUACAAAGAGAGAGAGAGAGAGAUUAAGCCAUGGACAUGUUAGAGAGCCUACUAGGUGUUGGCCUAAAAUUCAACCAUCUUAGUGCUAAACGUUUUGGUGCUGGUGUCAGUGCUCUCCUCAAAAUCUCUUUACUUGCCAAUCGCUUCUUCAUCCUCUUCUCUGAUGGUGGCACCAAAUAUCCGUGCCGCACACAAAUAACUGAACCGGUCCUGUUCGAGCAUGUGCAGGCCGAUCUGGAUCGUGGAGCAACUCUAAACUGAACCAUCUUCUGCCCUGAAACUGAAAUCUUUGGCUGAAGUUGUAAACUUUCUUUGGUUUCCUGCAAAAGGGUACCAUCCAUUUUCUCUGGUCAACUAUGAAUAUCAAAGAAAAAAGUAGGAAACGGUGUUUUCUUCUCCUUCUGAAGCUCUGGUUUUUGGGUUUCGAAGAGGUUUUCAAGGUAGAGACUUUAUAGUGGGAAGGUUUGAAUAAUAGUUAAUGCUUUAAUGGAAUUGUUGAUUUUGAAUAAGACUACGUAAUGGGGAGUGAGUGACCAAAAAUGUUUGACCAAGUACUUAUACUAAGUUAGGGUCAAGUAAUUGGUGCUUGACACACUGAUUUGAAAUUCGAACGUUUGAUGAUUUCUUGGAAUAUACUUGUUGGCUUCUUUAUAACGUUUUGGAGCUGGAGUUGCUCAGAACGUUCACAAAAACAGCUCAUUCGCAACUAGCAC
rnacentral:lncRNA from 1 species